GUACCACUCUGUCUCCCUGGCAACGUGGCUCCACUUCCACAGCUCAGAAGAACACAAGUUUUCCAGUCCAUCGUCCGCGUGAGGAGAAAUUACAUGCAAUUUACAGAAUACCUUGACGUGAUACUCUUCAUCCUCACAGGGUUACGUUUUUAAAGGAAUUUACAGUAGGAUUCAGGGGGCUGAUUUAAAAAACACAAAAAGG
rnacentral:lncRNA from 1 species